rnacentral:lncRNA from 1 species
UCUCAGUCAACACUGUUUGAUCGGGGCAACCUCGUAAGCUGAUACCACCUAAGCUCUAAUAUCAGUUGUGGGGAUGUCUAGUCAGGACACCACCACCACAGGAUCUUCUCAAUACCACUUUUGUUGCACUAUAUCAGUAAGAAAAAAAUAAAUAAAUAAAUAAAUAAAUAAAUAUAAGAUAAGAGAAAAAAUUAAGUACGU